CAGUGGUGUGGUUCAUCGCUGCUCUGUGUUGAGCUACGAGGUCCUACUACAGGCAGUGGAUCUUGUUAGUCUUUCCCUUGUCUUCGUGGGUUAUUUCGCUACGGGGAAAACGUAGGUCCUGUGUGGAUGAAAGGUGGUGGUUACGACCUCCGGUCCAUCCUCUGGGCUAUUCUGCUGCUAAGAUAGCUGCACUUUGGGAGCUGAGACUGCACGUUUCUCCGGCAACUAACAAGAUUGGCCACCAGGCGAGUGUCCGCCCUCACAAGGGGCUGCUGUUUUGUCUUGUAAAAUAAUACGUGUUGGUUCCAUUGAUUAAUUUCUCAUCUGGUCAUCAUAGCGUGGGCUGCUAGCUUUGGUGGCUGGGCCUUGGUUGUUACCUCACGGGCUUGCUGCAUGUCUACAGCUUGCUUUGUCUACAGCUUGUUACAUUAUAUGUACUGCUGGUGAGAGUAUCUUUUUGUAUUAUUUGUGUGUGUGUGGUUUUCCUUUCCUUUUGUGUCACUCCAUAUUUUGUGUGUGUGUGGUUUUCUUUUUCUUUUGUGUCACUCCAUAUUUUGUGUGUGUGUGGUUUUCUUUUCUUAUAUCACUCCAUAUUCUGUGUGUGUGUGUGUGUGUGUGUGUGUGUGUGUGUGUGUGUGUGUGUGUGUGUGUGUGUGUGUAUUUGUGUGUGCUGCAUAUGGUGUACCUAACUUCUGUUAACCUCCAGUGGUGGAAGACACCUGGGGUCUC